AUGGUCUGUACCUACAUGGAAGGGGAGAUGCUGCUAAACGAACUGCCUUUUCCUCUACCGACUCCCUCCAUUUUCAAUCUUGAUCAGAUCAAGGCACUCACCUUAGACAACCUAGUGUCUGAGAAUGGUGCAGCUCUCAGUUUUGCGGACCUGGAAAUCAAGCCUCUCAAGUUGAAGGGCUACCCUACCGAGUUCCUUGUCUGCUACAGGGAGGCCAUCUUUUGGCUCUACCAUCAGCGAGAAGAUGGGUAG
rnacentral:rRNA from 1 species